GGCGGGGGUGCUAAUACAUGCAAGUCGUACGCACUGGCCCAACUGAUUGAUGGUGCUUGCACCUGAUUGACGAUGGAUCACCAGUGAGUGGCGGACGGGUGAGUAACACGUAGGUAACCUGCCCCGGAGCGGGGGAUAACAUUUGGAAACAGAUGCUAAUACCGCAUAACAACAAAAGCCGCAUGGCUUUUGUUUGAAAGAUGGCUUUGGCUAUCACUCUGGGAUGGACCUGCGGUGCAUUAGCUAGUUGGUAAGGUAACGGCUUACCAAGGCGAUGAUGCAUAGCCGAGUUGAGAGACUGAUCGGCCACAAUGGAACUGAGACACGGUCCAUACUCCUACGGGAGGCAGCAGUAGGGAAUCUUCCACAAUGGGCGCAAGCCUGAUGGAGCAACACCGCGUGAGUGAAGAAGGGUUUCGGCUCGUAAAGCUCUGUUGUUGGAGAAGAACGUGCGUGAGAGUAACUGUUCACGCAGUGACGGUAUCCAACCAGAAAGUCACGGCUAACUACGUGCCAGCAGCCGCGGUAAUACGUAGGUGGCAAGCGUUAUCCGGAUUUAUUGGGCGUAAAGCGAGCGCAGGCGGUUGCUUAGGUCUGAUGUGAAAGCCUUCGGCUUAACCGAAGAAGUGCAUCGGAAACCGGGCGACUUGAGUGCAGAAGAGGACAGUGGAACUCCAUGUGUAGCGGUGGAAUGCGUAGAUAUAUGGAAGAACACCAGUGGCGAAGGCGGCUGUCUGGUCUGCAACUGACGCUGAGGCUCGAAAGCAUGCGUAGCGAACAGGAUUAGAUACCCUGGUAGUCCAUGCCGUAAACGAUGAGUGCUAGGUGUUGGAGGGUUUCCGCCCUUCAGUGCCGGAGCUAACGCAUUAAGCACUCCGGCCUGGGGAGUACGACCGCAAGGUUGAAACUCAAAGGAAUUGACGGGGGCCCGCACAAGCGGUGGAGCAUGUGGUUUAAUUCGAAGCUACGCGAAGAACCUUACCAGGUCUUGACAUCUUGCGCUACCUUAGAGAUAAGCG
rnacentral:rRNA from 1 species